GUUGAACGCAGGCGGCAGGCCUAACACAUGCAAGUCGAACGGUAACAGGAAACAGCUUGCUGUUUCGCUGACGAGUGGCGGACGGGUGAGUAAUGUCUGGGAAACUGCCUGAUGGAGGGGGAUAACUACUGGAAACGGUAGCUAAUACCGCAUAACGUCGCAAGACCAAAGAGGGGGACCUUCGGGCCUCUUGCCAUCGGAUGUGCCCAGAUGGGAUUAGCUAGUAGGUGGGGUAACGGCUCACCUAGGCGACGAUCCCUAGCUGGUCUGAGAGGAUGACCAGCCACACUGGAACUGAGACACGGUCCAGACUCCUACGGGAGGCAGCAGUGGGGAAUAUUGCACAAUGGGCGCAAGCCUGAUGCAGCCAUGCCGCGUGUAUGAAGAAGGCCUUCGGGUUGUAAAGUACUUUCAGCGGGGAGGAAGGGAGUAAAGUUAAUACCUUUGCUCAUUGACGUUACCCGCAGAAGAAGCACCGGCUAACUCCGUGCCAGCCGCCGCCGUAA
rnacentral:rRNA from 1 species